UACGGAGGGCGCAAGCGUUGUUCGGAUUUAUUGGGCUUAAAGGGUGUGUAGGCGGUUCUGUAAGUCAGUGGUGAAAUCUCACAGCUUAACUGUGAAACUGCCAUUGAUACUGCAGGUCUUGAGUGUUGUUGAAGUAGCUGGAAUAAGUAGUGUAGCGGUGAAAUGCAUAGAUAUUACGUAGAACACCAAUUGCGAAGGCAGGUUACUGAGCAACAACUGACGCUGAUGGACGAAAGCGUGGGGAGCGAACAGG
rnacentral:rRNA from 1 species